CGCUUCCCCCUCUUCUCCCUCCUCAAUGGGCCCCGUAGUCCUGCGCGCACCGCCGCCGCGCGCGGAUGAGAAUGAGGUGGUAACGGGCUCCCGGAUGACCUCGCGUCACCACUGUGAGGCCUACAGCUCAGCCGGGGAGGAGGAGGAGGAAGAGGAGGAGAAGUAGCUACAUCAAGCUGGCUAGCAGGCAGAUCCAAAGGAUAUCAUGAAGUUUCCAGGGCCUUUGGAAAACCAGAGAUUGUCUUUCCUGUUGGAAAAGGCAAUCACUAGGGAAGCGCAGAUGUGGAAAGUGAAUGUGCGAAAAAUGCCUUCAAAUCAGAAUAUUUCUCCAUCCCAGAGAGAUGAAGUAAUUCAAUGGCUGGCCAAACUCAAGUACCAAUUCAACCUUUACCCAGAAACAUUUGCUCUGGCUGGCAGUCUUUUGGACAGGUUUUUAGCUACCGUAAAGGCUCAUCCGAUAUACUUGAGUUGUAUUGCAAUCAGCUGUUUUUUCCUAGCUGCCAAGACUGUUGAGGAAGAUGAGAGAAUUCCAGUACUAAAGGUAUUGGCAAGAGACAGUUUCUGUGGAUGUUCCUCAUCUGAAAUUUUGAUAAUGGAGAGAAUUAUUCUGGAUAAGUUGAAUUGGGAUCUUCACACAGCCACACCAUUGGAUUGUCUUCAUAUUUUCCAUGCUAUUGCGGUGUCAACUAGGCCUCAGUUACUUUUCAGUUUGCCCAAAUUGAGCCCAUCUCAACAUUUGGCAGUCCUUACCAAGCAACUACUUCACUGUAUGGCCUGCAACCAACUUCUGCAAUUCAGAGGAUCCAUGCUUGCUCUGGCCAUGGUUAGUCUGGAAAUGGAGAAACUUAUUCCUGAUUGGCUUUCUCUUACAAUUGAACUGCUUCAGAAAGCACAGGUAGGUGUCAGUCUAAUUAAAUAGUGUUCUUUUUAAGUUUUUCUAUUAUUGGAAUACAUAGAGUUACCAAACUGAAAGACAUUUCUAAUGUUGUAAUGGCAAACCAUUCUUCAGAGAAGAGUAAAGUAUGUAUUUUAAAUUUACAGGCUAGAUGUUCUCUUGUUUUCUUAUAAAACUUAUAUAG